UACCAGCACCCCGAGUGGUCGGCGCGAUUAUUGGGCCUAAAGCAUCCGUAGCCGGUUCUACAAGUCUUCCGUUAAAUCCACCUGCUUAACUGAUGGGCUGCGGAGGAUACUAUGGAGCUAGGAGGCGGGAGAGGCAAGCGGUACUUAGUGGGUAGGGGUAAAAUCCGUUGAUCCAUUGAAGACCACCAGUGGCGAAGGCGGCUUGCCAGAACGCACUCGACGGUGAGGGAUGAAAGCUGGGGGAGCAAACAGG
rnacentral:rRNA from 1 species